AAUAACAAAUCCCUGCUUUCAUUUUGCAGUCUAAAGCUUUUCUUUAGACUGAAAUUCAGGCACAUACUACUAAAAGUUACUUGUCACUAGUACACAAGAGCUUCCAAUUCCAACUGUUUUGCUUGCUCUUAGCAUUCUCAUUUUACUGUCAGGAGCAAAAACUCUGCUCUUAUAAAAAGCAAGAGCAGCGUUUCAGUUAUGGUUAUCUAUUGAUUCAGUUACACUUGAAUUGAUCUCAAAUUGUUUCAAGCAACUGUUCUGCACCCAAAACACCACAUGAACCACAGAAACCAGAUCAAUAGAUUUCAAGUGAAAUAAUUGUUUUCCUUUGUAAGACCCCAUUACUCCUUGAAUGCAGAACUGUUUGAUUGACCUCCAGGAAAGCAGCAGAUGUGAAUAAGCCAAGCACCUCGGGCCUUAUCGGUUAAAGCGAGGCCUUGGAAAAGCCAUGGAAGCUCAGGGAACGGGCUCGGAGCUGUGGGAAAGGCACAGCUGGAAAAGCAGCAAAGCUGGGUUUGAUAACAGGAGAGCAGUCAGACACAGAGGGAAAAACCAGACUUUGGGAGUUAGUAAUAUUUCACUAGUCAAGGAAAUAAUUCAAGUUUUCUCCAGUGAUUGGUUUGAUUUACACAGUAUUGGUAUUAGUGAGAUUUUGGUCCUGUUUUGUGAAAUUUCACACCACUGUGCCACUGAAGUAAUUUUUUCCCAGUUCCUUAUUAAAUAAUUGUAAGGCUUUGUGAAGACAAUAAUUUCCAGAUUACCAAUUUCCAGUUCAGCAGCUGAGGAAAUCAGGGGCAGCGCCUGAAUUCCACUGGCACGGUAAGAUUUAUACCAGAUUAACAAUUGAGUGGUGUGCCUGAAGCGAGAUUUGAUUUCUUUUAAUAAUACUGAAAACAAACUGAAUGCUCAGAUUAGAGCUUAGAAUGUUUUUGUAAGGAAUCUUGGUUGGCUCCUUGCAGGUAUUAGACCCGGUCUGAGCUUUACCCUUUUACGAGCGCAAUUAACUGCAAACACCUUGUCAUAAACAUCGCAAAAGGUCAAAGAGAUUGCAACAAUUUUGCUAAAGAGAUAAAUGGUCAAAUAAAACAUUGAAUUGUUAAUUCCCAGGUGACAAAAAGCUGCAUGAGUCAGAUCAAUAGAAAGACAUACAGAACGAAUUCUGGGAUAAAGGGCGGAUCAACCUUGAAGUGUUAUUAACUCGCUCCUGUUGUUUUGCUGGGGCACAUCCUGUGUUCCAGCAGGUAACAGGGCUCUGAACAGCAAAUUGAUGCUCCCAGAACUAAAACUGGGCAGCAGAGAUUGUUGGAACAAAAAGUUCUGGAAGGAUUCAGCUCUAUUAACUUGGAUUUUAUUAAAUAUUGUUGGACACAUGCAGCCUUAUUUAGCAGUGAGGUAGAAUGGGCUCCUGUUUGCUGCUUAUUUUUAGAAUAUUAGGAAGGAUUUCAGGCUGUUGGGAGGGCACCACCUGAAGAAAUCCCUUCUCAAAACUAUUCCAUUUUUGGGACCCCUCCAGAGCAGAUCACAAGAUGGAAAGUUAUAUGCAAAUCAAAUCAUCUCAGCCUUAGUUAAUUAGGGACAUUUACAAGUAAAAGAGAGGCUUUUCCUAAAAAAAGACUAAGCUACUCAUGGAAGAGAAAGCAUGGAAAAUUGUAAAAUGCUAUCACAAAUCAGCAACCCUCAUAUGCAGUGGAAAAUAUCUACCAGUAUCCACAGCAAGGAACUGAGGAACUCAAACUAUCCCAAAGCAUUAAACAAUAUAUAAAUAUAAAAUACAGUAAAUAAAUAUAAAACACUGCAAUGCCUGUAAUGAUCCCAUUGGACACUUGAAAAUGAACAUUUCAAAGGUCAGGAAUUUUACUUCUGCCAAAUUGGACACCAGUAAUUUGUGUGAGACCAAAAGUCAAAUAUCAGUGUAAAUUCCCCCAGUCAUAUGCAAAUGUAAUCACCCUGUGCCUCUAACAGCAGUUUUAUGUCAGCCAGCAUGAAAAAUGUGGAGAAAUCCCAUCAAGCACGUUGGGCUUAGGGAUAUAAGUAACACAAGACAUUACAUGACAAACAUCUGUGCUGUACAAAUGCCAUGAAAAUAUAUUUUACACUGACAGCAAAUUUUAAGGUGCUGUUAACUACUCAUUCAAUGAUUUUCAUAAAUGAAAAGAAGCUCUCCUCUUGGAGUGCACUUCAGAAAUAUUUAUAUUUACAUAAAACUCGUGGCAACUUUGAGGUGUAAUUUUAGCUUUGAAAAGAGGAAGGCAAAAUUUGUGGUUUUUUCCUGAAAAGAUAUUUUCACUCUGCAUUCUCUAAAAACAUCACUUGAUAUCUAUAGCACAAAGCCUCAGGGCUCACUAAAUUAAAGGCAGUUAUGCCACUAAAAUUAAUGGCUCUGGGAUCAGGACUGACUUAGGUUUUCCUACAGUAUUUAAAAUUUAAAGAGAAGCCUAAGAGUCUUCCACAAUUCUAAUAUAAUAGUAAUAAAUAAUACCUACUAAAUAGGUCUGUGUCAAACUAGUCAUUUAAGCCAAUAAGUUUAUGAAGCAAAAGCCUGUAGAAAAUUUUUUCCUGUAGCAAAAAGGAGAAUUAGCUGGUGUAAAACCCACAUCUAUCUGCUCAUUUUUAGUUAGUUCAGACAUAAUAUCAGACAAGGCAGUAUUUGUAUCACCUAAGAUACAACAUAGAAUAAAACUAUUCUGUGUUCUGCACAUCAUCCUUUUUACCAACACAGUCAACUGAUUUAAAUAACUAUUUUAAAUUAAAGAUAGGAAAAUGAGCAGCACUUCAUAGACACCUCCAUCACCAGCAGUGAUGCUGAUGGAAAAUAAAUGUUAUUUUAUCAAAGUACAUGGCCCUUCCUAAACAUCCAUAAAAUACCAGAUAUCCUGGAGUGACUGCUGCACUGUCUAAAGGCUUCAAAGUGCUCUCACAAUUUGUUACAAAUUGAAUAAAGUGACAUCCACAAAGUCCAGCAGUUUAACUACAAAAGCCCUUCAGAUUCACACAUUGAGCCUGGCAAGAUGAAGUGCAACUAAUUCUCAUGCACUUUUAUUAAUUACAUCAAAAGAAUGUGAUUUGACCCCAGAACUGUGGUCUUUUCAAGAAGAGAGAGACAACUGCUGCGAAAGCGCCCAGCUGAUGCGCUCGCAGCUUUCCCUGUUCCAUGGAAAACUCCAGGUCUAGAAUACACAUUAAAUCAGUGAUGUUCAUCCCAAAAGGAAGCACAUGGAUUUAAGUGUUGCUCAGCAGAACAGAAAAAGAGGCCACAGAACCACCCUGUAUGGCAGCAUGGCUGUGAUGAUGCAGCACGGUGAGAAACACAUCCUUUAUGCUGCCUGCAAAAAAUACAGAUUAUUACUGAGAGAGCAAUUAAAAACAUCAGCUUUCACUGGACAGUUCUGCUUCUCUCUCCUUGAAUCUUUUCUGCCUCCCUUGCACCCUGCCUGCAUGGCCUGAAGCCCCUCAGGAAGGGGUUCCCACCGAGCAGUGCUCCCCAGCAGCAGGGACAAAGAGCUCAGCUCUCGUUUGUCCCUGCCCAUUGCCACAGCAAACACAGGCAAGGAGGAUGAAAAUGGAAUCUGGACAAAAAUGUACUGUACACAUGAUUGCCACCUAAUAUAGGGACAGGCACAACAUCACCUUAUGUUCAAAUCCUACAUUCAAACCCAAAGACAACAAGCACAGGCACAGCUGCCCACUCAAGCCUUUAAAGCCAUUUCUCCAUGCAAACUGCUUCUGCCACACACCACAACUUUUAUAACCUCUGCUUGUACCCAAAUUGUACAUUUUAACACCUCUGCUCACAACAAGAGACAAACACCAAAUUCUGAAUCUCACUGAUUCCCUCCCCACCUGUGUCAAGCACAAGUGUUUGCAUGUAUUAAGCAAAAUUGCAUGAGUAUAAAAUUGCAAGGAGACCAGAAUGCUCAUUAAAAUCAAACUGCUGACCUUUUAUAACAGCAAUAUAGGAUUGCUAAAGAAACAAUAAAAUUGCAUUGGAACUUUUUCCAUCUGUGCUCACAGCCACAGAUCUCUUCUGCUAAAUUGACACAAAUUGAAAUUAUGUGAUGCAACUCAGCAGAGGUAGAAUGUGAUACAGUAAAAGGAGACCUAAGCAUGUUGGUAAUUAAGAAUUUCUGCUUUCUAAAAUUCAGACCUCAAACAAAACUUCAUGCACAAUUAUAGCCUGAAUUUCUGUGGUUGAUAACAAUCAUUUCAAGUGAAAACUGAGCACUGCUGACACAAGUGUCCAGGUGGAGUCACAAACCCAGUUGUGAAGGCUAAACAUUUCCUUCAGUUUAUAAAGCUGAGGGAGAAAAGACAAGAAAAGCAGGAAAUGUCCCCCCAGGAGCGGCUGUGACACACAGGGCUGUGUCACUGCUGACACUGCAGUGUCUAACACAAAACAGCUUCAGUCCCACACUACCCUACGAAACACAGGCUGGUGCACAACAAAAAUCCAUGACUUGAAAGAAUUUUCCACCUCUUUAUUCCAACUUUAUUAGCAACUGCUGUGGUUCUUGGGGUUCUUAAAUAGCCACUUGUGCAAGCAGAAGAAGGCAAAACCCAGCUGCACCUUGCAGAGCAACACAGGUAAAUGCAGAUCUCACACAGCCCUGGAAAAUCAGGACACUUCCUCUGUUAUAUUCUCCUUUCCACCUGUGUUGCAACAACCUCAAACCCCUCUGUUGGCAAUCCAUUAAAGAGAAAUAAUCAUUUGUGUCUCUAAAGUCCCAGCAAACUUUGACAGAGUUCAGAACAGGUGCUAAUUUAGGGCUGAAUAUAAACUAAUGAGACAUAAAAAUGUCCCUUUGGUAAUUCUUUUCCAAUGCAGCAGGGGGGCAUUUCUUCUCUGCCAGCUCCUCUUAUUAAAUGUCCAUCAAUGAGAAAUUUGGAAUAUCCUUUCAGAGUGUUCCUUUAGGAAAACAGCUGAAACCUCUGAACUGUGCAUCACUUCAAAACUCCUGUCAAUACCACACUUCACAUAAACUCAUUUUUCAAAAUAAUCUACUCAGUUUGGGGGUUUAGAUUUUCUUCCCACUUCCCAAGGCAUAUAUGUUAUAUACUUAUUUUUAAAAUCUUUAAGAACAUAGAAUAAUCUGUCCUCCUGGCCACUGCCUGCCGAGUUUUUUUGCAAACAGCAGGAUUUCUUUAAUGCUUCUGAUUGAAUUUCCUUAUUUUCUCAUUUAAGGGUAGGAAAGCAACUUCUAUUCCGCACCCCUCUUAGCAGAUUGUGGCAAAAGAGAAGAGAGGGGGGAAAAAAACCCUCACUAAAGCUCUGACAGAUGGUACCCAGCGUUUGACUCACGCUGGGCUCAGCAGGACCUAUAGUUUAGAAGGUUAGGACUGUCAAAAAGACUCUGCUUAUCAAGUGAAUAACAAAGUGAGGACUGCCACGCUGUUUCCUAUAGAAAACUUGUAUUUUCCUUCUAAUUCUCGGCUAUCUCCCCGGUGCUUCCAAAACUUUUGGAGGAGCAGAUGCUUUUGCGUUUGAGAAACAAGCUGGGAGCUGCCAUGCCGGGAGCAGCCGGCGGCACAGUAGGCCUGAGCCGAGGAAGCUGUGCCCCCGUGCCGGUGGCAGCGCCGCGCUUUGGGGACCUCAGAGGGGAUUUGAGAGCAGGGAGAGAACUCUUCCUCCUCUCCACUCGCCUCCUUUUGCAGUCAGUGACAAAUUAAUCUGCUCUUAGAUUACUGCCCCAGCCUGAGGAAUCGCUUUAGCGAAGUAAUUGUGGCAAACUGGGAGCAAAGGCAGAAAGGUCUGGGCGCAAGGCAGCGCUCACCAGGCUUUUCUUUUAAAGUGAUUUCACAUCAGGCAGCAUCUAUCCCAGCACAGGGUGUCUGAAGUGACUGCAAAUGUUAGUGAGGCUGCAAGCAGCACUGGAGUCUGCAGAAACACAGCUGAAAGGUGAACAGCUUGUAGCCAUGUUUUCUGCUCUGCACAGUACAAGUCUAUUCAUAAUUUGUGCCUCAACGAAAGCCCAAUUUAAAUGUAAAAAUGCACAACAAGACAUAACAAGUGGGAGAGUCAUAAACGAGGUGAGAAUUACAUGGGCUGAAGGAGGGAGGUUUGUACCAGAGAAACUGCUCGUGGCUGCAGCCAAAGGGAUGGUGAUGGCCUCUGGAGAACACUCAAAUUUUCUCUCCUUUCUUUCCCAACACCAACAAUGAGACUAAAAAAGGGACAGAGAGAAGUGGUCAUAGACAAUAAAUCGUUGCCACUUGAUUACAGAUAGAAUGUGUGUUGAGAAGGGGAAAAUCAUAGUUGUUCCAGUAGGGAUAAAACAAAAGAAAUGGAGCUGGGGAAAAAGUACCCAAACAGAAAUUUAGAGGAAAGGUGCGGUUCUCAGUCCCAGCUGAUUGGGAGGAAUCCAAAAUGCAGCCCUUGGAGACCAGGGUUCCACUGGGAAUGCAGUGUCACAUCCAAACAAUAUCAAAAUUAUCAAUAUUAUUACCUAGUUUUCUUGAGUUAUAUCUGAUCUUUCAACAACAGAACCUUCUCCCCCUUCUUACUCAAAAUUCAAUCUAAAAUAUUACACAGGAUAAAGGAAACAUUUCUCUGUCUUCUUCAACCUGGAUAGAAGUCACAGACUGGGAAAUCUCUGCAGGCAAGUGUGAUGUCUUUAUAGCAAUCUCACAAUUACCUGUAGAGAUUCUACAAUCUGGCACCUUCGUGCACAGUAAUUAUAAACUGUUCACUUCUUCAGCCUCUGCACCUCUGCUGAGCUGAAUUCCAUCCAAAUUGCCACAGUAGCGUGGAGCUGACUGCAAGCUUUUUACUUAAUAAUUUUCAUGAGUCAAAAAUUGAAAACAAAAGCAUAAAACCUGCAUAAAUUAACCAGCUGGAUACUGGGAAAAUACUAAAGGACAAAGUUAUUGUAGGCUAUUUUUCAACUGUGAGAGCUUAAUAUUCCAUUACUAGGCUAUAGCUACUGUUAACUGAGCUGAAUCACAACUGGGUUUUCAUGGGUGAUCAAUUCAUGCAGCACUGGAUGAGUUCAGCUCUUUUGAAGUGAUGAUGAUUUGAAGGGCUGAUGAGUUUGAGUUUGGCUGAUGAACAUUCUCAUAUCAAGCUCUGGACACAGUGGAAGCAAGAAUAAGCCACUUUGAAAGAAGAGAAUACCCAGCAAUGCAGGCCUUCAUGGGAAGAAUAAAGUAACUUUUCCUUUUGUCAUUAAAAAUGUUCCUAGAAUUGAUAUUUGUGAAGUCUUAGCUCAUCCCACUUCAAUGACAUCGAACAAAUUAAUUGGACAAAUAUUUAUUGGGGCAGAAAGAUGUUUGUUCCUGAAACAUCCAGGCAUUGAUCCUGCUCAGAAAUGCAUUCCCAAGGCAGCUCCCAUCACUGCACCAGAACCUCCACCCCAGCAAACUCCCUCCACCUGAACAACACUCACACAGAUUUUGGCUAGAAGGACAUCAAUGGUGAUGCUGAGCUUUUUGUGCAAGACAGAAGAAGCAGGAUUAUGAUUCUGCCAAGCUGGAGGACUCUCAGACACCACUUGUCCCUAUGAAGAGCCCUCAUAUCCACUUGCUUCCUGCUGAGAAGUCAAAUACCUCCCUGGGAUGCAAAGUUACCACUCAGGCUGUGCCUCAGCUCCCAUGGGCACAGGGGAAGCUGAGCUGCCUCCUCCUCAGGGCUGCAGCUCUGCCAGCAGCUGCAGGGGAAGGGAGCAGUGGGGAAGAUGUGGGUGUUUUCCAGUGCAGGAGCGUUAUUCCAGGGGGAGGAACACAAACCUAACUCUACUUGGGUCCAGCAGACAGGAGCACAACAGUGUUCUUGGAAGGGUUUGGGCUCUCAUUGCAAAACUCCACAAAAUCCAGCAGCUGUGCUCCACCCCUUACUGUAAAGGAUCUGUGAUUUCCACACUUUUUAUUACUUCCUCUUUUUACAUCUCCUCUGUUCUCCCUGUUUACAAGAAAUAUAUCCUCAGUCUGCACACCCUUGCUGCAUUCCCAGUUUCCCAGCUCCCAGCACUUGCCAAGAAACCACUACUCUUCCAGAAGAGAUACCACCUUUAUUCUAGAUUGGAAUGUACAUAAAGACUGAAAUAAGGCCAUGAAUUUAAUCUGUUCUUCUCAAACAAGUGUUAACUGACAAAUGAUGAGGGCAGGCAUUUGCAAUACCACAAUUAGGGCUGAUAAUUGUGCAUGUGGGUACAAUUGACUUGUCAGCAUCUGCAAAUAAAACCUGUGGUGACAUCCCAGAAUAACUCCAAACGAUGGCAAAGCCCCACUCAUUUCAAUACCAAGUUUGUUUCAACAUAAGCUUUAUGUAUUAGUUCUGGUCUGGAGGCAAAAUUGAAGUUGGAACACAGAUGCAUUGUCCCCAAUCAGACCCUUACAAUUUAGCCUUGUUUUUAUUGAGCCAACUUGUUCUUGUCUACUGAGUCUCCACUGCUUGAGUAAGCCAUAAAAUGCUGUGCAAUAAAAACAUCAGUUACCUUGUA